rnacentral:tRNA from 1 species
GGCCCCGUAGCUCAGCUGGAUAGAGCGGCCCCCUCCUAAGGGGCAGGCCAGUGGUUCGAAUCCACUCGGGGUCACCA